rnacentral:lncRNA from 1 species
GCAAAAGAAGAAGAAGUUGUGAUGGCUUCCUCUAUGCUCUCCUCUGCCGCUGUGGUUACCUCCCCAGCUCAAGCCACCAUGGUCGCUCCAUUCACCGGCUUGAAGUCAUCCGCUACUUUCCCCGUCACCCGCAAGGCCAACAACGACAUUACUUCUAUCUCAAGCAACGGCGGAAGAGUUAGCUGCAUGAAGGUAAUGUCCUAUAAAAACUGUAUUUUGUCAUGUGUAAUUAGUGAAAUUGAACAAAACUUAGAAUAAUUGGAAUUGGGAGUUAUAGGUGUGGCCACCAAUUGGAAAGAAGAAGUUUGAGACUCUAUCUUACCUCCCUGACCUUACUGACGUCGAAUUGGCUAAGGAAGUUGACUACCUUCUCCGCAACAAGUGGAUUCCUUGUGUUGAAUUCGAGUUAGAGGUAAUAAACACUGGACCUUUCGUUUGUCUCUAAUCAUUAUAUAUUAUUUUCUUACAUAGCUAAAAACCAAAGUCAAUAAGCUUAUUUUCGUUUGUCUCUAAUCAUUGUUCAUUGAAUGGAUUUCGUAUUCAUUUAUAGCAUGGAUUUGUGUACCGUGAGCAUGGAAACACACCUGGAUACUACGAUGGACGGUACUGGACAAUGUGGAAGCUUCCAUUGUUCGGAUGCACCGACUCCGCUCAAGUGUUGAAGGAAGUGCAAGAGUGCAAGAAGGAGUACCCUAACGCCUUCAUUAGGAUCAUCGGAUUUGACAACAACCGUCAAGUCCAGUGCAUCAGUUUCAUUGCCUACAAGCCCCCAAGCUUCACUGAUUCUUAAUUAAAUCCUUUCUGGAAUAUUCAAUGUUGACUAUCCGGAACAAUUUUGUAUGGUCAAUGUAAAUUUAAGUAACUAUUAUCUAGCCAACUUAAACGUUGAGCAAUUGUUUUGCGAAAAGUGAAAAAGUUGAAGGUUUAUUUUCUAUCAUUUCCUCUAUAAUUAUAUCUAUUCAUAUCAUUUCAUUUUUGAUCUUAUCACUUUGAACUCUUUCAUCUUCGAUUUAGCUCUUUUAAGCAACAUUUUAUUUCCUUUACAUUUCCCUCCUAAUUUUUGCUUUUGAUUCUCUAGACUAACCUAUAAUAGAAGAGAGACCUUUUUAGAUACCUUUUUGGAAAAACUUUGCACAUGAAAUCAUAACAAAGAUGCCUCAAUAAAUCAAAUCUCGAAAGGGCCAGUACCUUGUGACUUAGAUGGAUGGGCUAGGACGAUCUCGCUUUCGAAAAAAAGAUUUAUUUGAUUUUGCUGUGGGUGGAGCAAUGUUGACUACCUCCGCACUAUUUUCUUGAACGGUUUUGGCUAUUUUGUACCUUGUACGCGCUUCUGCUCACGGGAAAUUUGUGAGCUUUAAGUUGGUAUUGUGGAUCCAUGACCAUAGCUUCUUCCUGUGGCCUUAGGGAGAGUUCUUGCCUCGGUUCCACACCGUCCAUUGAAGUGUGCUAUGAAAAUUCCCCACAAUCUGUCAUGUCUUCCAUGCUUAAGUUGACAUGGUGGAAAUCAUCUUGAGGUGCCACAUUUUAAGUGGGCCGUACGUGCAAUGGUGUGGUGCUCCGAAAGGAACGGUAGCAUGGGUUCCUAUAGCAUUGGAUCGUUUUCUAAACAAUAUGCAUUAUGUGUUUAUAAAUUUUAGUAAUUGUACAUACAUGUCCCAGUUUAAAAACAGAUUAACAUACAUUAUAAUUUUAAGGGCUGCCUAUAGCGUUACACCUAUACUAUAGCGUUUCAACUCCUAUCCACCUGUACUUUCGACCUCUGCCCAAUUCACCUUAUACUUGUUUUAAACUUCCUAAUUCCACCUAAACUAUUAAAUUCUCCAUAAUUAACCAAAAUCAAGAACUCUCUAUAAUUGCGAUUAAAAAUCGUUCAAAUCGCGUUUACUGUAGGCCAACCCGAGUCAGAUCCGACCAGCUUCGAAGACUUCUUUCACCAUAAGGGUUUGACUCGUGUUCAUUUGUUUUGUCGGGUCAACCUCGGAUUAAUAUAAACACAUAUUUUUUUACUGCAAUUUGAACUAUUUUUAAUCGUAAUUAUAGAGAGUUGGGCAGAUGUCGAAAGUACAUGUGGAUAGGAGUUGAAACGAUAUAUAUAGUAUAGUUGUAACGCUAUAGGCAGCCCUAAUUUUAAUAAGAAUGAUAUAAACUCAACUAAACUUCCUCUUCUUAGUUUGAAACUUUGCAUGACCAUUAACUCUCUUAUACUGCAUAAGACAUAAUUAGUGACAUAUUUUUUUCUUUCUAUUAUCAAUAUUUUCGUUAGCAUGUACUCGUUGUAAGAUGAAUAGAGAAAUAAUUGAAUUAUGAAAUAACGAAAUCAAUGUAUAUAUAUAUAAAACAAAAACAAUUUUACGCUGAACAAUUUUUUUUUAAAAAAAGGCAAAAAAAUUGCUUGUUUCAUAUUAUAGGAUGUUUUGGACCUUUUUUUUUGUUUCACAAUAUAUAAUGCUUUGAAGAAAAAAUACAAGUUUCUAUGUAAAACAUUAAAUUUAAUAGAUUAUUGACUAUUUACAUUAUGCAGUAAAUUAUAUCACUGAUUAAAUUAUUUUUAAUAGAUAUUAAUUUUUGUUUUAAUGUUAAAAACUCAAGAUUAGUUAAUUUCUUAAACUUUGUGCUUUCAUCUUUUUUUUUAUCUUUUUUUUUUGUCAUCCGAAAUUAAUUAUACCUCAAAAGAGAGAGUAUUAUUUGAAACAAAGAGAGUAUUAUUUAGCAGAUAAAUGACUUUUAUCUGAUUUAAUUAUAAUUUUAAAAUGUGCGGGAUGAAUUAAAAGAUCAUUUAUCAUUUUUCACGUUUUGUUUUUUUCCAGUUAGGUUUUUGUGAAUGGUUUUUACUCAGCGUAAUCAUGUUUUAAGAACAAGAACGUGAGAAAGUUAACAAAAUACCGUUGCAAGACUUUAUUUUUGUUUUACACAAAAUGUAGUUUUAUAUUUUCAAAGUAGUUUUUUUUAAUAGAAUUUACUUAUAUUCUUUUUAGUUAAGAUAAUCAAAUGGGAAAAUAAAAAUAUUAAUGUGUUAAUACAAGAUAAUAGAAAUUUAAUCAUUUUAAUAUAUAUGUAAAAAGUAUUCAACCGAUAUUUACAAUUAGACAGAACUAAGAAGUAUUAAAUUUCUCACCUCACCUCCCAAAAGAAAGGAGCCAAAAGCAACCGAUCAAGUGGAGACCAGUACUAGCCAUACACAUUCACUCGUUCCCUUACAAGAGAAAGAUAAGAUUAUGGAGUUUUCUGCCACUUGGUCUUAUCCUAGUGGUCCGAAUUGAUAAGGGUUUCAACACCUUUCCUUAAUCCUGUGGCAAUUAACGACGUUAUCAUGAAUUAUGGCCACUUUGAUCAUUAGGGCUUUUUGCCUUGCAGUUCUCACUAUAUAAAGAUGACCAAAUCAAUCGACAAACAAGUAAAAGAAACAACAAGAAGUAGUGAUGGCUUCAUCUAUGCUCUCCUCUGCCGCUAUGGUUACCUCCCCAGCUCAAGCCACCAUGGUCGCUCCAUUCACCGGCUUGAAGUCAUCCGCUGCUUUCCCGGUCACCCGCAAGGCCAACAACGACAUUACUUCUAUCUCAAGCAACGGCGGAAGAGUUAGCUGCAUGAAGGUAAUGUCCUAUAAAAACUGUAUUUUGUCAUGUGUAAUUAGUGAAAUUGAACAAAACUUAGAAUAAUUGGAAUUGGGAGUUAUAGGUGUGGCCACCAAUUGGAAAGAAGAAGUUUGAGACUCUAUCUUACCUCCCUGACCUUACUGACGUCGAAUUGGCUAAGGAAGUUGACUACCUUCUCCGCAACAAGUGGAUUCCUUGUGUUGAAUUCGAGUUAGAGGUACUAAACACCGAACUUUUCCUUUGUCUCUAAUCAUCCUUUAUUAUUUCUGUUCAUUGGUAGAAACAUAAGUCAAUAACCGGAUUUUAAAACCCGAAAUAGACUAUAACCGUGUGACUCCUCGACUAUCAAUGGUAUUGAAUGGUUUUGUCAUCUGUUUAUAGCACGGAUUUGUGUACCGUGAGCACGGAAACACUCCCGGAUACUACGAUGGACGGUACUGGACAAUGUGGAAGCUUCCAUUGUUCGGAUGCACCGAUUCUGCUCAAGUGUUGAAGGAAGUGCAAGAAUGCAAGAAGGAGUACCCUAAUGCCUUCAUUAGGAUCAUCGGAUUCGACAACAACCGUCAAGUCCAAUGCAUCAGUUUCAUUGCCUACAAGCCCCCAAGCUUCACCGAUGCUUAAUUCCCUUUCUGGAAUGUUCAACGUUGACUAGUAUUUCGGAAUCCAAUUCUAUGUGGUCAAUGCAAAUUUAAGAAAUUAAUUAGCCGACUUAAAAGUUGAGGAAUUAUUGUGUGAAAGUGAAAAAUUUGAAGGUUUUUUCUAUCAAUUUCCUUAUAAUUAUAUUUACUCAUUUGAUUUCAUUUUUUUUCUUCUAGCUCUUUGAGCUCUAUUUUUCGUUUAGCUCCUUUUGACAACAUUCCGGUUCAUUUAAAUUCUCCUCAUUAUUCUUGCUUUUGAGAAAUUGGCUACAUUGUUUCGAGAAAUUUUGCACAUGAAAGCAUAACAAAGAUGCCUCAAUUUAUCAAACCUCGAUGAUUUAGAACAAAAGAUUAUUUAAGGGGGUGUAACCUUUUAAGAUGAAAUAGCCAUUGGAGAUAGCAAAAGGUAGUAAAAGACGUAUACACUAUAAACAAAAUCCAAAUGUAUGCUUUUAAAAUUAUAAACAUGUAUUCCAAACGCCUAAGUGGAAUAUUCAGUUUAAUUCAAGUCCAAGAAAUGGCAUUAUAUAAAGCAAGGAUCGACAAAGACUGAAAUUUGUCUAGCAUGAAGUUACUAAAUUUUGGAAAUUGUGUUCACGUUAAAAGCUGAAACUUAACAGUUAUUUAUAAGGAAAAGCAGUUAAUGUUCCCAAAAAGUUCUAAAUGAAACUAGAAACCAAAUGAUAAAGAAAACGUAGCAUCUACAUGUUUGGUUUUAGUUUUUUUUUUUUUGACAAAAAUAUUCAAAUGUUUUUAGAUUCUUCUAUGCAAACGAUAUAUAGAAAAUAUAUACAUGAUUCAAAUAUAAUACAAAUAAAAAUAAUUAUUGAAAUUACCGAACAUUUUUUUGCAUCUCCCUGAUUUACUUCCCACAUUUUCGUUUCAAAUAAAAUUCAAGAAAAAGAAAGACGACGAAAAAAAAUGACUUAAAAAGACAAGGGACAGAAGCUGGUAACUUAGAUGGAUGGGUUAGGACUAUCUCACUUUCGAAAAAUGUUUAUUUGGUUGAGGUGCGGAGUGGAGUGGAGCUUGUGAUUCUUUGCCCUAUAUGAGAGUUUUUUCGUGACCAAUUAUGGUGAUUGUGUACUUUGUAUACAUGUUUCUUCUCAUAUGGUUGAAAUGGGGGCAUUUGUGAGCUUUAAGGUGGCAGUCUUGAUCCACGACCAUAGCUUUACAUGACUUUAAGGUGAGUUCUUGCCUUGGUUCUACACCGUUGAUUGAAAUGAAUUAUGAAAAUUCCUCAUGAUCCGCCAUUUUUACAUGCUAAGUUUUUUUUUUUUGAAAAAUGCAUGCUUAAGUUGAAACGGUGGUUAUCAACUUGAGGUGCCAUAUUUGUGAUUAAGUGGGCCGUAAGUGCAACGGCGUGGUACUCAAAGAGGAACGGUGGGGUGGGUUUCACAUCGUGAUUGUGAUGUGAGUAUGUAUGUGACCAGAGUCCAGGGCCGGCUCAAAAUUAUUCGAGACCUUGUGCUGAUGUAUAAAAAUUGGUUUUUAAAUAAUAUAGUGAAAAUUUUGGACCCUCAAUCUUAGAGGAAAUUGAAAUUUUUUUUUGAGGACCCUGUGCUUUUGCUCCUCUAGCACACCCUUAGAGCUGGCACUGCCAGAGUCACAAGAUAAUCGUGAGCUGGUCUUACUUGUUGAUCGAGAGGCAGCAUUAACUCAUAUAGAAGAAACCAUGGACCUCCGACCUUGGGAGGUUUUCUUGGAAAUUCUUCCAUGAUGGAAGCUUACCGCAUGAGCAUGAUACAGGUAGAUGCAUGAUGGUUUCGGUUGUUUGCUCGAUCGCUUUCUACCACAAACAUAUCUUGCAUCUAAUUGUUGUUGCCUUGUUGGUUCUCAAAUAUUUACUCUCGAAACAGUAAGAUGUUGUUAGCCAUACGUAAAUCAGAAAUAAAAGUAUAGUUGGCUAAAACUGCAGUGAGUAUAGAAUUAACCGAUAUCAAUUUAUUCAAAUUUCCGUCUCUCUUUUCUUUUGUUGGCUAAUAUAUUAUCAUUUGAAGAUAAUAUAUAGUUUUUCCAAGAAAAGAAUAUUGACAAUUUUUUUGUGGUAAGUGAUUUUAAGAAUGACUCCAGAAUCGACAGGUUACCCAGACAAUAUUUAUCAUGGAUAAACCUAUCGAAAAAUCUUAAAAAUCAGUAUUAAUAAAACGGAAGUAGUAAUGAACUUCUAAGCUAUGCAUUACAAUACAUUUAUCUCAAUGUCGAAUUUAAAUAAUUUUCUUAGAACUCCUUUUUUAAUGCGACCUUAUUCACCAAAUCAAGUGAAGCCAAAUUAAAUCAUGCAUGGUAAAUAAAAUAUCCAAAAGCAUUAAAUUUAAGGUAAUGCGUCUGAUUUCUUUCCUCCCAAACGAAAGGAGCCAAAAGCAACCGAUCAAGUGGAAACCAAUAACCACACAUUCACUUCGUUUCCCCCACAAGAGAAGAUAAGAUAAUGGAGUUUUCUGCCACGUGGCAUUAUCCUAGUGGUCCGUACCGAUAAGGGUGUCAACACCUUUCCUUAAUCCUGUGGCAGUAAACGACGUUAUCAUGAAUUAUGGACCCUUUGAUCAUGAGGGGCUUUUUUCCUGUUGCGGUUCUCACUAUAUAAAGAUGACAAAACCAGUAGACAAACAAGUAAGUAAGAGAAAAGAGCAAAAGAAGAAGAGAAACAACAAGAAGUAGUAAUGGCUUCCUCUAUGCUCUCCUCGGCCGCUGUGGUUACCUCCCCGGCUCAAGCCACCAUGGUCGCUCCAUUCUCCGGCUUGAAGUCAUCCGCUGCUUUCCCGGUCACCCGCAAGGCCAACAACGACAUUACUUCCAUCGCAAGCAACGGGGGAAGAGUUAGCUGCAUGAAGGUAAAGUAAAGUCAUUAAUGAAAGAUGUCUUUUGUCAUGGCAAUUAGUGUAAUUGAACAAAACAUAGAAUAAUUGGAAUUGGAUUCGGGAAUUAUAGGUAUGGCCACCAAUCGGAAAGAAGAAGUUUGAGACUUUAUCUUACCUCCCUGACCUUACUGACGUCGAAUUGGCUAAGGAAGUUGACUACCUUCUCCGCAACAAGUGGAUUCCUUGUGUUGAAUUCGAGUUAGAGGUAAUAAACACUGAACCUUUCCUUUGUCUCUAAUCAUUAUAUAUUAUUUUCUUACAUAGCUAAAAACCAAAGUCAAUAAGCUUAUUUUCUACACCAAAGUUGAGGCUAUCAUUGUCCAUCGAAUGGUUUUCUUAUGUGUUUAUAGCAC